rfam:Canis lupus familiaris chromosome 14, whole genome shotgun sequence.
UUUCCAGUUUUAGAUCGAGGUCGGAAACUGACACGAAAACUUAAAUUCUGUGAUGGGUCACAUGCAUGUAAUUCAUGGUGUUCCAGUUCGCGAACACAUAAAAGGACAAUUUUCUUUUUUUUUUUUGACAAUUUUCUAAUUAACGUCAGCUUGGAGUUUAGGAUACAUCCCAGACAUCUUAGUUGCCCUUAUGUAUUUUUGGAGACAUUUGUCUCAGCCAUUAAUGAAGCAAC